rnacentral:rRNA from 1 species
GACGAACGCUGGCGGCGUGCCUAAUACAUGCAAGUAGAACGCUGAAGAGAGGAGCUUGCUCUUCUUGGAUGAGUUGCGAACGGGUGAGUAACGCGUAGGUAACCUGCCUUGUAGCGGGGGAUAACUAUUGGAAACGAUAGCUAAUACCGCAUAACAAUGAUGACAACAGGUCAUUAAUUGGAAGGGGCCAUUUCCUCACUACCAGAAGGACCUGCGUUGUAUUAGCUAGUAGGUGAGGUAAUGGCUCACCUAGGCGACGAUACAUAGCCGACCUGAGAGGGUGAUCGGCCACACUGGGACUGAGACACGGCCCAGACUCCUACGGGAGGCAGCAGUAGGGAAUCUUCGGCAAUGGGGGCAACCCUGACCGAGCAACGCCGCGUGAGUGAAGAAGGUUUUCGGAUCGUAAAGCUCUGUUGUAAGUCAAGAACGGGUGUGAGAGUGGAAAGUUCACACUGUGACGGUAGCUUACCAGAAAGGGACGGCUAACUACGUG